UUAAAGGACGGGUUGGGAGCGGGAGCACUCUAAGGGAACGGGUUCGAAAGGUGCACGAGCAGCGCGGCUGCUGCACCUCGGGAACGAGACUCCAGGGGACAAGAGCGCAGGGGACGCCCCGGGAAGCGCCUCGCAGCCGCGGGAGGCGCGACACCCGGGAGGCGCCGGGGCGCAGGCGGGACAAAAGUGUCCGAGCCUUCUCUCCCUCCCCACCCUCAGCGCCCGAACCCCGGGCUGGUGAGCGCGACCCCUGCCCCGACCCCUCGCCCAGCCCAGCCCGCGCGAUUACUAAGGAGACACGGCCUCCGGCGCUGCCGUCCCGCGCCGUUUGAAAACGGAUCCAUCAGCGGAUACCGGGCGUUAAAAGGGGUUUCUCUGAAGGGACUUGUGGGAAAGGACAAAAGCGAGCGGCCCCAUUCAGCUGACCAGUCAAAGGCACUAAAUGGGAACAUCAAAAGGCGCCCCAACUAGGAAUACGGAUCCAAUCGCUAGAGAAAGGAACCUGGUUUCUUUUCUUGGCCGCAACACGGCUGAAAAGCCCUAAAGCAAAUAGGCAAAGAAUGCAGAGGGGGCAGAAAGGAAAAAUAAAGAAACAAUCUCAUGAAUGAGUUUUCUUGGGCUUUGGAGGAGAGAAGUGACAACUUCCUAAGCGCCGUUGGGGGCCGGGCGGCGGGGACCGCAGCCGCUGGGACCCGCACUGAGCGCAUCUCUAGCCCUGCGCCGUGGCUGUUUCCGCGUGCUCCUAGGAGAGGCUCCCUUUUUGUGCGCAAUUCCCCGUUCUAUUUAAGGUGGCAAGGUAGAGGAAGAAAGGGACAGUAGGGCGCGCAGCUCGAGGCCAAGGUUCGCGAGCAGCUUUUCUGCGGGGCAGGUUGUGUUUUGAACCCCGGCGCCCCAUCUGUCCGACCCGGCCAUCGCGCCCCGUUCUUCCCUCCACGUUAUCGUUUCCCCAACCUGGUGACUUGGGGUGUUUGAGUUCAAUUUUCUGCCAGCCGAGAACGAACAGGCUUGGCAAGCCAAACCACUUUUAGAACCCCGUUUGUUCACUCCUAUCCACUCCUUGUUCCGCUCCCGGUUCCUCGCACAAGGGAAUCGCUUUCUUAACGUAGCCAAGUUUGUUCCUCUGCUCAGAGCCAGGAGGGAAGUGCAGUCUGACGCUUCCCCGCUUCCCCAGUCUUUGGGGUCAGAGACUGGCUGUGGGCUGAGCCACGGCUUUACGGGAUAGCGGUACCGACUCAGGCGGCUCCCACUAGGGAGGGAAUCCGUCCGUGAGUUCGCGCCCCGAAGAAGGGUGCAGGACGCCGCGAGGGGGUAGGUGUCGGCAGGCCGUGGCAGCCCGGGCUUUGGCCUGCCUGGCCCGGCUGACUUUUGUCUCAGUGUGUUCUGUAAAAUUGUGACAGGUUGUUAGCACAGGAGGGGCCUGAAGGUCAUCGAAAGUGCCGCAUGCUCGGGGCCCAGCACGCUGUGGUAACCCAUUCCUCGGUGGGGCCCAAAGCGCUGGUCUGAGCGCGCGGCCCGCAGUUCUCCAGCACCUGCUCAGGAGUGGGGUCUGGCCUUGGCCUCCCCACACCCAGUAGCCGCCUGAGACAAGUGACAGGCCAGGGAGGCGACAGGAAGGGUUUCAGCACCGGAGCUCAGGGGGAGAGGGAAUUCUUUCCGCGCGCUGAGCGAGGCGGUUUCUAGAUUUUUCCACGCCCGGUUGCGGCUCGGCCCCCAAGCUGACGCCCCAAGAAGCCGGAUUGGGGGCCGUGGAAGCAGAACAACGGGUGCGAGCUGAUUUGCUCUCACCGAAAAUAUCUAGACGGGGGAAUCUAUUCAGAGGCCAUGAUCCUCAAAUGGUUGCUCAAUUCAAGAAGAGCUCCUCGAUUCAAGAAAAGCUUCUCGAGACAGAGUUAACAGCCCCCCAACGGGCAGGUUUCGCCAGGCUUGGUGGUUCGUUAAAACAGUCAGCACAAGAGUAGGGUGCAAGAGGCCAAGUAUCCGCUUGGAGCUUUGGGGAGCCCCUCCUCCCCCAGGUCGGUAGAGGGGGAAAACCCCUGCCUUUUGUUUGUGGGUGAGGGAUGCGCAUUGUGGCAGCAGCCGAGCAAAGGGGGGAAAUUAAUUGCAGCCAAUUAAUAAUUAAUCCCCUUUAAACAACUUUAUUAUCUCUUCCGAACGACAGGGAUUUGUCUGAUAACCCCCCGAAGACCAAAUGUCAAGUUUAACCAAAUAGUUAUUGCUUUAUCAACCCGAGU
rnacentral:lncRNA from 1 species